ACAUGGAACACCUGAACAAGCAGAAUAGGAGCUGGGUUCCAAGGCCUGGGAACAUGAACUCAGUUUUGAUCCAGUUAGCUGAGACGGCUGGACUCAGAAAACGGUCUCCUAACAGUAGAAAGAGAGCAAUGGGAAGGAUGUAAGAGCCAGGGGACCAUUUGCUGGUCUGCCAAUCAUCUUAGAGUCUCUGCUGAAGAUGCCUGGGCUGGGAAAUCCACUCAGCCAGGAGGAGAAAGAGACCCUCGAGGACCCUGGCUCUAUUUUACCUGCUGCCCUUGACCAUGUGGUGAUACUCAAAUGACCAUUCUGGAUUCCUAGACCUUGGAACCAAAGCCAAAGAAACUUCUGUGCUUUAUAAGUCACUCAACCAGGAAUACUCAGUUAUAGUAACAGAAAACAAAGCUAAGUCACGCAGGAUGUAAGGAGAUGAGCCCAGAUAGAGAUAUAAGGCUACAGAAUUAAUCAGAUGGAAAAAUCACUCCUGUACCUGUUCAUGUUAGAACUGCAUCAUGUUUUUAUACUGGGAAAAUGUAUUAAAUACAUCCUCUGCC
ensembl:lincRNA Gm36945 predicted gene, 36945